ACCUGGCUGGCUCAGUUGGUGGAAUGUGGGACUCUUGAUCUCGGGGUUGUGAGUUCGAGCCCCACGUUGGGUG
rnacentral:tRNA from 1 species